AGCGAACGCUGGCGGCAGGCCUAACACAUGCCAGUCGAACGAACCUUUCGGGGUUAGUGGCGGACGGGUGAGUAACACGUGGGAACGUGCCUUUAGGUUCGGAAUAACUCAGGGAAACUUGUGCUAAUACCGAAUGUGCCCUUCGGGGGGAAGAUUUAUCGCCUUUAGAGCGGCCCGCGUCUGAUUAGCUAGUUGGUUGAGGUAAUGGCUCACCAAGGCGACGAUCAGUAGAUGGUCUGAGAGGAUGAUCAGCCACACUGGGACUGAGACACGGCCCAAACUCCUACGGGAGGCAGGAGUGGGGAAUCUUGCGAAAUGGGCGAAAGCCUGACGCAGCCAUGCCGCGUGAAUGAUGAAGGUAUUAGGAUUGUAAAAUUCUUUCAACGGGGACGAUAAUGACGGUACCCGGAGAAGAAGCCCCGGCUAACUUCGUG
rnacentral:rRNA from 1 species